GGUCUGGUAGCACGACGGUUAGUGCGCCUGCGUGCUGUACAAAUUUGGUAGUCGACUGCGGCAGAAGGUCCCCGUUCGACUCGGGGUCGGGCCA